UUCAUGUUCCUAGGAGUUUCUAGGAAAGUAUAUUGGAGAAAAGUAAGCUUAAAGAUGAAUACUUAAUUCUUUGUAGGAGACGUUUCUCAGGGAUGCUCUUUCCCACAGUUUCCAGAGCAAGAAGAAGCCUCCACAGGAAGCGAUAUGACCUCAGGCUAGAGGAUUAUGAUCCCUAAUCAGUAAUUUCCCAAGUAUUUAAAUUUCUCCAAACAUUACUGCAGAAGACAAUUAAAUUUGAUGAAGCAAUAUUAGAAUUCAUAAGAGUUCAUAUCUCAGAAUCAUCAUGUAUCUAUGAUCUCAUGCAACCAGGCUUGGAAUAUCAUUGCUAGCUUCAAAAGAAACCAACUAUGAGUGUGGUGUACCAAGCUUUUUAUUACUUUUUAACCCUCUACGAUGAAAAUCCUGGUUGCUUGUCAAAGAAAGGUCCAUAGUUGGUUAGGUUCUUACAUUUUGACCUAAAAAUUGUGCAACAAUUAUUUUCUAAUGAGCCGUUUACGUAUAAGACAUAUUUCUAUAAAUAAUUUAUCUUAUGAUAAACUACUUUCUUAGCCGCCAAGUGACAUAAAAGUCAGGAAGUCAAGAAAGAUAAACUUACUAUAGCUUUCUAGCGUGAUCUUUGUGCAAACCUUAGCAUGAGAAAACUUAGCCAGCCUGUAAGCCUUUAAAUCUUAUUUUAAAUAAUUGUAUACCUUCUUUUUAAGACACUGUUGCAUAAUGCGACUUUUACAAAACAUUUCUAUAUUAAUACACCAUGUUAAUGGCAACACGCGAGUGGAUUGCAAAAGCUGAGAAGACAAAGCACUAUAAUUUUCUUCUAUCUAACAUUCUUAUCAAUCAUUUUCGCUAGUGACGACCUUAAAAAACCGCUUAAUUACUGUUCAAACGUCGCACAGGCAGAUGCAAUCUCGAGCAAUAAAUCUACUCGCGGCUGGUAAUAGUUUCAUCUUUAUUGUAUUUGCUCGUUGCAUCGAAUGAGAAGGGGCAACUCGGAGAAAAAAUGUAUGAUAACCGACGUGGUGAAUAGUAAUCAGAGAUACAUUGUAAUCCUCGCUGUGAGAGUUUCAAUGUAGCUGCAGCAACUCGUACAAUUGAAAUAAAUUGAAGACAAACACUGUAGUGUUGUGCAUAUACGUAUAUAUUAAUUAUAUACAUUAUCAGUUACACAGGGUGAUUGGUAACUGGUGGUACAAGCGGAAAGGGGGUGAUUCUAAGCGAAAAAAGAAGUCGAAAAUAUAGAAUACAAAUUUUUCGUUCGAGGCUUUGUUUUCGAGAAAAUCGACUUUGAAGUUUCGCUCGGUACGCGCGCGGUACGUCAUAGCGGAUCUCACUGUAGAUCGUUGUUUCGAUGGAAAAAUUAAAAAAAAAAAAAAAUUUGUAUUCUAUAUUUUCGACUUCUUUUUUCGCGUAGAAUCACCCCCUUUCCGCUUGUACCACCAGUUACCAACCACCCUGUAUAGUAGCUAUAUUUACUAAUUAUACAGGGUGUGACCGACUAACACGUACAAGCGGGCACGAGGCUAUCCCCAUCAGCAAAAUAAGAACAAAAUAUGGAAUAAAUAAAUUGCUCGUUUAAGUCUUAGUUUAAGAGAAAAUCGAGUUUGGAAAUUGAUGAAAAAAGCGCUACAAAUCGACCACCUGGUAUACACGUAACAACGUUGUACAACUAUACGAGUACACGGUAUGUAAAUUCUCAGACUAGCCUCUCGUUUUAUUCUCCGGUGAAGGAAAUUACACUUGUCGAGAGUUCCGUUUUAAGAAUAGUCCAUGCUCAUUUGAUGCUUAUCCGAGCGAUUACAAAUUUGUAAAAUAAAACGCUACCUAGUAUGUAAUUAUAGACGAUUAGAGAAGAGGCUUGACACAACACUGUCAAAACAAUAGGGGACACAAGUGCAUAUAACGUGUAACGUUAUCGUUUAUCUCGAGACGUUCGACGUGAAAUGAAUAGCGGUGCGAUUUUUAUUUCACAAAGAUAACGACGAUAUGGUAUUGAACAAUAGAGGAGCUCAACGUUGUUACAAACUUUCCAUUCAGUGAUAAACUAUCGCUUGUUUUAAUUGAAGUAUCUUUAAUGGGCAUGUGAGAAAAUAAAAUUAAAGUCUCUUCAAUUUGAUAUCGAUAAUUUAUGUUCGAGAGGAACUCACAGAUACACAAAUGAGAAAGUAUAUAGAAUAUUUGAAGUAAAAUACUUGUGAUAUUUAUAGAAUUUAUGCUCAGAAACAUGCGCAGUCUAGUAAAAUACUGUCUAGUAAGAUAUUUAUAAAUUGUACUUGGGUUAGGUUAUGUUCACGAAAUAGGUUAUAUUCAUAAAGAUUCAUAAUCUCGACAUAGUUUUAUAAAUGGAAUUCGAGACAAAAAAAGACAUUGGCAAGAUAAUAAAUAUUUCGAACGACAUUAUCUCAUAUGUGUCUUAUAUAACAAAUACAUACUUACUCCAGAUACAAAAUCACUAUAAACAGAAGGAAAGAGAUUAAGUGGUCGAAGGAUCGAAGGAUAGUCUUUUUGUGAGGUUAUGUAGAAGGAUAGGAAAGAAGAGGACUGUUAAAACGAACUUUGGCGACUAGACUCCGUCAAGACGAUCUGACCAAAAAAAAAAGCUGAACUCUUGCGGCUUGCGUUUUACAGUUACACAAUCGCCAACUAUUUUCAACCCGGCUUCCUUCUCAGUAUUGCGAUUCGGUUCACCUAAUUUCCACCCCUUCCUUUAUUGACAAUAUUUAGUCUGAGUUGUUCGUUUCCGCUUCUCUGAUACUUUCGAUAUCUUCAAUUCUUCAAUAUUAAAUCAAUAUGUAGAUAUUCCUAGUUCUCUAAAUUUCCCCUUAGAGUAACAGUCCUUUUGUGUGAUUGGAAGUGUCGGAAUUUUGUUUUCAAUUUUGAGAAUGAUUCCCCCUUUCCAAAAUUCUCUAUAUUCAUGUAUAUCUAAACUCCCUAGAAUCUAUAUUUUGGAAUCAAAUAAAUACAUUUAUUAUUUAAUUGGUCAACGCAACAUUGCUAGAAUAUAUAGGCAUAUAUACAAUUAUACAGAUCUCGCUUUUUUCUUUUUUUCACAAAAAUAUCCACUAGAAUUUACUUCUUGCUAGUUGUAUCUUCUUACAGUGCAAGAAUAAUUAUUGGCAAUCUGAUUUUUACCACACCAAUGAGAAGCUAGCUGCGAUAGCAAAAAUGCUAUGGCGGAGAUUCUGAGGAAUUUAGUAAUACAAUAUUGGAAAGGGGGAAUCUCCUUUAAAAUUCAAAAGGAAAUAAGAAAUCGCUUUUUAACGAACUUUUUUAUUUCAUAUUACAAUUUUUAUCUUCCCAAAUCAAAGUUCUAUUUAUUCUAAUGCAGAGUUAUGAAAAUUUUCCCUAGGCUCAUCCGCAUUCCUCCCUAGACGCGUCAAACUUUUUCCAACGCCUCAGACUAUUGUACGUGAUAUUAUUUCUCUAUCGAAUCACGUCCAAUACCGACCAACAAGCAACUCUAUCCAACUCGAAGCUGCCUGGAACGUGUUCCAUUAACCGGCUCAAUUUUUCUACAUUUCUUACAUGGAUUUUCAAUCAAGGACGAGAGAAUCGCGUAUCCAAGAUCCUCUGCAACGAUCAUCGGCCCUAGAAUCACCGAUACACAUAAUAAAAGUGCGAUAUGCUUGGAUAAGGAUCGAUGAUCGAUGCGUCUAUCUAUGGAUCAUCGAUCGAUCCGCUCCUCUAUCUAGUUUUAUAGAUGUUUCUCUAUCCCCCUCGACCAAUGUCGAGUUCGUGACUUUGUAAGAGCCACGAUCUUUGCUAGUUCUAGGUUCUUCAAACUGUUCAUCAGGAACAGAUCUCUUUGAUUUCUUCGCUUUAGCUUCUUUAACCUCUUCAGCCUUGAAUACUAUUUGUUAUAUUGUUUAUAAUAUAUAUAUAUUUCCUAUUUACCUCUUAUUCUUCGUACAUGAUCUAUAAUACAUAACUGUACACUCCAGUUGCUAGCAACAAAAUACUCUAUACAGUAUAAAAUCGCUAAAUUUGGUAUCCCCUGUUCUUCUUUUGUUCUCCACGCAACUCAUAACAAAACGAAUAUCCGUGUAUUUAUGGGAGAUUUAAGUAUAGAAAAAUAUAUGAGUUGCACGCAAUAUAGGAAAAUACAUCUAAAAUAUUCAUUGCAAUAUUUGGAAUGAAAGAUAUAUGUCUCUGUAUUUAGGUUUCAUGUGUAUAAACAUAUGCAGGCGACCUACAAUGUAUAAUUGUACACGUGUUAUCUACUCGAAGUAACAUCGCCAGCUACAAACAUCGCUCGAGAGGAUGGCAAACGAUCUGUAUGGAGGCAGAGAGAUCGACUUGUGCAUUUAUAUGUAUAGCUAUCGCUGCAUCAGCGUCUCAGGGCGAAUAACGGUGCAUCCUACACGUCUGCUUUGCGUCGCAUGCAAAAUGCACUCAUGUGACGACCGAUACCCGCGACCUUGACAAAAUCGAGGAAAACCGAGCCUAAAACCGCUAUCUCUUUCUUUCUCUUUCACUCGACAUCGGUAUGUCUCGUACAAUGCUGCUACACGCAUGCGCGAACAUGGAGUCGCGUGAAUUGUACACCUUCUCUCUCUCUCUUCGUUCUUACGUAAACGGUUCAGAAACAAACGUAUUACUUAAUCGUGCGUUUCUACAUAAAUCGUGGUUGCCAACCUAAGAUUCGUAGAGUCGUACUUUCGAACGAAUUCUGUAUACAGGAAGAAGAUUUUUGAGGUUAUACAAGGUUUGUUUCGAUAGAUUAGGUAUUCAGAUAUUUAGAUUAGAUAAAUUUCGCUGAUUAGUAUUACUAACCGAUUUAUGUUAUUAUGUACAAAGAACAAUUUUCCAAUUGUAAUUUGUUUUCAAUUUGUAACGUCACGAUAUUCGCAUUCUACGAUUGUAUAUGCGAUAAUUAUCGAGGAUUUCGUUUUAAAAUUGGAAAUGGAAGUGAUUUUGGCAUUAUAAGAACAACCGUUUCGUAGAUAGGUUCGAAAAAGUAGUAGGUUUUAGAGUUCUAGAUAAACUGAUAAAUACAUGCGACGAUAAUUAUUCACGAAGCUAGGAGUGACAAUUUUCUGCAAAUAACUUCGUCUAUUAAAUCCUUUCACAUUUUGUAUUUUUAUAUUUCCUGUGUUUCCAAUAAUUUAACGGAUACAACAGAAAUAGACGACGUGUAUUAUUGAUAUAUGUGUUAGGUCGUCACGCAUGAAACUGAGACUAAACUGUACCCCGAUGUACCGCAAGACUCAUAGUUUAUUCCCGUUCAUGUUCAAGGAUUUUCUCUUUCCACUUUUACGUUUCGUUCGACAACGAUGAAUAACAGAGCGUAAGUACUUUCACGAUAUUUCGUUUUUUUUUUUUUUUUUUUUUUUUUUAAUGUUCGGCGAUUUAUUUCCAAACAAAAUGGCAUACGUAUGUAAGACAUAAAAGAAACGAAAAAUCGUGAAACAUGAUACUGACCUGUUCCCUCGAAUGGAACGCGUCAUAAAAAUCCCAUGUCUCUUAUUACGACCAGUUUUACCAAACAUGGGUCCUUCGUUCGCGUAAUAAAGCGACGAGUGACUUUCUUUGACCCUCCAGAUCGCACCGGAAGUAAUUGCUAAUCGGAAGCUUCCAGAUGUGACUUUGAAAGUUCAAAAUUCUCCUAUUCUUUAAACUUUAAUUGAUUGUAAUUUCUCAAAUACUCAGUUCCAAUUUCGUCUCUGUUCUAAUAACUGAAUAUACGCAAAAUUCAUAAUUCCUCACUUUAUCAAUUCUACUUUUUGUAAUGAAGUACAGUGGAGGACAAAAGAAAGUUCGAAAGAUAAUUCCCUAGUUCCCUAAAUAUUAAGUUAAAAUCUUAUUGGAAAUAUUCGAAAGAUUCAGAACUUUCUAUUCAUAUACAAUUGUAAUUUAAAUUAUUUUACGUGAUUCUCGUUUCAUUAGCUUCUAUUUUGACUAUAGUAGUGCCACGGCUAUUUAAGGAAGAUAUAAAUAUUCCGAUAUAAAAGUUACAAGGGAAGGAAUCUCGAACUGUUAUUGAUGUACAGGAAGGCACAGAAAUUAUUCGUACGAAGAACAGAAUCACGGAAAAGAAGUUUCACUGACUGAAAUCGCCUACGUAAUACAUUGUUUGCCAACUGUAACGUGUAUUUCGUCGCGGUCUACGUGAGCCUGAACCCUGUGCAGUUACUGUUUCCCGUUUCAUCCUCUUUGUCGCGCCAUUUUCUUUUUCUCGCGUCUGCCUGGAGAACCGAUAAUCGGAAAUCAUGCAAAUUCCACGACACACUCGCUGAAUCUACAGGCAAUAACAGUACCUCUUACAUACCGAGCGAUUAUUACCUCCUACUGUAGCAAUUUUUCGCCUUCUAUAUACAGGAUGGCCCGAUAACUGUGAUGCAAUCGACAAUUGGGUGAUUCCAUGUAAAGGAAGCUUAUGCUACCAUUUUGCAAUGACAAUCUUGUUCUUGCUACGAUUUUCAAAAUUUGUCCAAUAAACAAAUUAGAUGUAUGUUAACCAACUUUGGCCAAUUAGGUUUCCCAUUAAGCUCAAAGUACAAAUUGUUCACAAAAAUAGUUGAAACCAAAUAUCAAGCUAUCCUUCGGUCUUAUCCGAGUCGUACAGAAGUUUAAGCAUCUUUCUUUGAUAAUUAAGGCCUCGAAAGGACUAUCUUCAAAGAAGAAAUUAUUUCCACGAAGGAAAAUUACGACCAGAGAAAUAUUCAAUGUAAUUUCAGAGUAAAUCGUUAGGCAACCUAAUAGGUUAUCAAUCAUGCCGGUCAUUAAUGUAUAAUUAACGACACAGAUAAUGUUUCGCGUUUGAUCUCCAAUUACUAAUUUAAUUACCGUGUUUCCAUAAGUAAAUCGGAAUUUAAAUUGAAUCGAGCCAUUUAACAGCACCUCGUCGAAAUUUUUCAGUUUUUUCCAUCCAUAUAAGAUCAAGGUCUCUCAUUGUCGGAGAAAACAGACGUUUGCAAAGUAUUCAAGGCUUUCAGUAUAUAGACAUAUAUGACGAUUAUAAUUUCUUGCGGAACUUUCCUUUCCUUAACCCGUUUCCUGUUUUCGGGUUUCUCAAUUUCCUAUGCCAGGCCGUUCAUUAUUUCGCAGAUAAUUGAUAAACCAGUUUUUGAAUGAACAUAGCUAUCAAACAAUCGCGUAGUGGCAAGCGAACACCUUUUAGCCAAGAAAUAGUAUUUUUUUUUUUUUUUUUUUAAUCACUCACGACUUUCUCUCGCGUAUCAGUCUAUGAUUAUGAAGCGAAACCAGUAAUUUCAGGAGUCGAUGACCUUGGCACACGCAGCCCUUAUCUAAACAUAGACCGUGGAUUAGUCAUUACACUUGUGGUCUGCCACCUGUUCGUGCUGAUCUUUCUCAUUUUUCAAGGACGCUUUUAUUUCACAUCAAAGAGUAAGGUGUACGCAUGUUGUACCGAUUUUUAAUUUUUUUAAUUAAAAAAAAAACUUUUACUGAGAAUUAGUUUCAACUAAAUUGAUGACUUCAAUUUUUUAUUAGGCAUUAAUUCCAAAUAUAUCUUCGUUGCAAAACACUAUUCUUUAAAUAUCCAUUUGAAUCAGCAGAUAUUCCAAUCCAUAGAACAACCUCUAAACCGCGGAUUUUUGCACAUUUCUGUGAAAUUUGAAGCUUUGGAAGCACUCAAAAAAUGCACAUGAUAUACAAAAGUAUAAUAAUAUGUAAUAAUGUAGUAUAUAAUAUAGUAUAUAAUAUAGGCAACAACAAUAUACAGGGUGGUUGGUAACUGGUGGUACAAGCGGAAAGGGGGUGAUUCUACGCGAAAAAAGAAGUCGAAAAUAUAGAAUAAAAAUUUUUCGUUCGAGGCUUUGUUUUUGAGAAAAUCGACUUUGAAUUUUCGCUCGGUACGCGUCCACCUUAUCACGUCUCGUUAUAACCGAUCUCACUGUAGAUCGUUGUCUCGAUGGAAGAAUUAAAAAAAAAAAAUUUUUUAUUCUAUAUUUUCGACUUCUUUUUUCGCGUAGAAUCACCCCCUUUCCGCUUGUACCACCACCCAGUUACCAACCACCCUGUAUAAUAAUAAAAUACACAAAAUACGAUAGUCAUUAUAACCUCUAAUAAAAGAUGAAACAAAUUUAUGUUUAAAUUCUGUUUCUUUAAUUGUAUUGGCAAAAAUAUAAAUUGUGAAGAAAUACAAAGCAUAAAUUUGCACAAGAAUUGCAUAAAAAUCCACAGGAUAAAUUUACAUAAAAAUUGCAUAAAAAUCCACAGCCUACAAAACAUAUUAAUUUAAAAUAUCCCCAUUUAUCAUGGCCGCUGUACACAAUCUGAGGUACACAGUACACAGGUGGUUCGUCAACGAUCAUACACACAGGACAAAGUAAAUUGGCUUCCAAUGGGCAGAAAAAGGUGAAAGAUAAGCGUAUGCAAGCAGUCAUUGUACACUGCCUGAUUACGGCAUCGAUACGAGGUGCAACGCGGCCCAGAUUUUCAAAUCAAGGCCAGGAUAUUUGCUCGCAUACACAUGCACGUACGCAUACACGCCUGAGAAGCAAAAACUCGACCGACGGCGAAAGUGUCCGUGCAUCUGCAAUACCCUACGUGUUGCAAGACCAAUAGAAGCAAGAAACAAUAUAAAAAGAUGAAUGAACGUGAUGAAAACAUACAAUUCGAUAUGCACGUACAGCCUAAACUAGAUAAGAUAGCGGCUCAAAGUUACACUAACUGAUAGUCAACUGAUAUCAACUUUGUUGGUAUGCUUAUUCAAUUAUGAAAUUAGCGAUGUCAUCCAUCUCCUUGCAUAACGUAUUUAAUAUCUAACAAUUACGCCAUUAACGACCUAAUUAAUUAUCAAGGAAAGUUAUUCGAGCGUUACAGAGAUUCGUUCAGAGAGAUAUAUAUAUAUUCGGAAUUGUAGCAAGAUCCGCAAAUUUUAAUCGUAAACAGGAAACAGCCGACAAAGCUAUGAACAUAUCUUGGUAAGAUAAAAUAUUAUUAAGGUUAAUCUGCGGUUAAAAUAAUCAGUCGAUUACAAAAAUACGUAUAGGGAUUAACUCGCUAACGGCCGGGCAAUGGUUUAUCAUUUAUGUCACGAAUAUGUCCAUUUCUUUAGAUUUCAUAAAAUCAUAGAAUCUAUAUAGAAGAAAUGCUGAUGAAAAAAAAUGUAAGCUGAUCCUUGGAAUUCCCUUUCGUACCUAUAAUGUUGAAAAAACAGAAUUAGAUAACCUAAACUGAUUGAAUAACGUUGCAACUAUAUGUUGCGUUAACGCAACCUACACUCUUAAUGUUUUAAACAUUUAAUUCUUAAUGUGAAAGUGAUGUUCGAGACUGACCAUAAUAUUAAAGCAUUCGUAACCACGAUUUCUACAUUUAAUAUUAAAAGAAAUUGGAAAGCGUCUUUUUUUACUUUUAUCUGCUUAAAAAAUGACUAGAACGCUAGAAAGGAAAUAAUAACGCUAAUAAAUGUAUCGAGAAUUUACUUCUCUUCGAUAUACAUAUGAAUGUAUUGACUUCGUGUUGGACGUGUUACGAUGCGUUCGAAAUACAAAAUUCAACAUGGCGGAUAGGUAAACGCGCCUAGGGCCAUUCGACUAUUUUAUUCCGGUCGUCGGGCAGAUGGUCGGUUAUAAACUUUGCCGGCUAACGGAUUAUCCAGCAGCAAUGGUAAAAAAUAAUUUUUACACGUAACAUGGGCGUGUCACGGAAUGAACGUGACAACUGCUUGUGUUCGAUCGAAUUCUAAGAAAAUGAGAUGAGAAAAGAAAACAAUGUAAAGAGGAGAAGACUGUGUUUAGAGAAAGACAGACAAUAUUCGUGGUAGAGAGGUCAUAAACAGACUGUUUACAUACGUUCGAAAUUAUUUACGUUCAGUCACACUCUCGAAAUGUAUACGUUGUAUCUUGAUACGCUUUGUCUCCGAUUAUUUUAUAUCGUUAUCGAAAAUUUUUGUAACCUUUAAAACACGUUUCUGUUAUCUUGUAAUGAUUACAUGUGAGUCAUAUAAACUCUCAAGUUAUAGUGUAAAUUGUUACCAAUUAUUGGUAUUAUAAUUUAUUGUUUAUAUAUGUUAGACUAAAGGAAAUAAAUAAAUAAUAUUAAGUUUAGUUCUAUAUGUCGAAUUUUAUAUUGUAUUAAUUAAAGAAUAGUCAAAAUU